rnacentral:rRNA from 1 species
GACAGAGGGGGCAAGCGUUGCUCGGAAUCACUGGGCGUAAAGCGCACGUAGGCGGAUUGCUAAGUCAGGGGUGAAAUCCUGGAGCUCAACUCCAGAACUGCCUUUGAUACUGGCAACCUUGAGUCCGGGAGAGGUGAGUGGAACUGCGAGUGUAGAGGUGAAAUUCGUAGAUAUUCGCAAGAACACCAGUGGCGAAGGCGGCUCACUGGCCCGGUACUGACGCUGAGGUGCGAAAGCGUGGGGAGCAAACAGG